UCUGUGAGACCAAAGAACUACU
rnacentral:miRNA from 3 species